AUGGGCCGUAUUGCUAGUCAGCCCAACUUUUGGCCCAAACUUGCCUUUUGAAAAAAUGCAGCUGUGGUUGUAGUAGCAGCCAGCCAGCCACUGCUUCCCGAGUAUCAUGGCUGACCGAGACCGUGACCGUGACCGUAAUCGAGACCGGGAAAGGGAACGAAGGCGAGACAAGGAUGACCGUGACCGUGACCGUGACCGUGAACGUGACCGAGAACGGGAUCGAGUUCGGAGCAAGAGAUCCCGUUCGCGGUCACCUGACCGUGCUGCCCGCUCCCGCCACACUCGCUCUCGCACUCGCUCGCCUGACCGGUACCGCUCUCCGUCCCGUUCCCGCUCUCCAGCGGACCGCUCUCACCGGCGGCGUCGCCACCACCGGACCCCUUCCCCGGACCCUCCAAGAAAGCGGCACCGGAGAGACUCCCCCGAGGACGCGAAGAAGGCGGUUUCUGACUUCGUGGACGGGAUCGUGAAGGAGCAGCAGCAGAAGCAGAAGGAGAAUGGUGCUGGAGUUGAAGGAGAAGCAGCUGAGACCAACGAAGACGAGAUGGAAAUGAUGAAGAUGCUUGGGAUUCCCACAGGAUUCGAUUCCACCAAGGGAAAGCCUGUGCCCGGUGCUGACGUCAGCGGCGUCAGAGCCGUCACCAAGCGCCAGCCGAGGCAGUACAUGAACCGCCGUGGUGGCUUCAAUCGCCCAUUGCCUGCUGAGAGGAAUCGAUAGAUUGCCCCUAGGGUUUCUUUGAGAUGGUUUAUGGUUUUGGUGAAGGUUCACUUAUCCGUGCUGUGCUUUGAUUGUGAAGUCGAGUGAUUCUGGAUUGGACAUCAUGGCCAUGGAAGUUCAUAUGCUUUCUGACCUAAAUUAUUAUUAUCCCAAAGUGCGGUAGUUUUAGGCCGAAAACAAACAAGUUUACGCCUGUGAGAAAGAAGAGGAAAUAGGGAUAAAGAAAUACAUGCUAUGUGACAAUAUGUGCCUCCUUUAUUUCCAAAGUUUAGUUGGUCUUGCUCACAAAAUCUUGAAAA